UACGUAGGGGGCAAGCGUUGUCCGGAAUCAUUGGGCGUAAAGAGCGUGUAGGCGGCUCGGUAAGUCCGCUGUGAAAGUCCAGGGCUCAACCCUGGAAUGCCGGUGGAAACUGUCGAGCUAGAGUCCGGAAGAGGCGAGUGGAAUUCCUGGUGUAGCGGUGAAAUGCGCAGAUAUCAGGAGGAACACCAAUGGCGAAGGCAGCUCGCUGGGACGGUACUGACGCUGAGGCGCGAAAGCGUGGGGAGCAAACAGG
rnacentral:rRNA from 1 species